CACAGUGUGUUGUUCUGUGGCCUGCAAGGCCAAAGGGCAGAGAGAAUGGCCCAGCAUCCUCUGCCCAGGGCUGACGGCACCUGAGUGAGCCUGGAGUGAAGUUCCUUGGUGUUGGUGACCUGCAUGAGAUCGCCCCAGGCCCAAGUGUGUUGUUCUGUGGUCUGCAAGGCCAUAGGGCAGAGAGAAUGGCCCAGCAUCCUCUGCCCAGGGCUGACGGCACCUGAGUGAGCCUGGAGUGAAGUUCCUUGGUGUUGGUGACCUGCAUGAGAUCGCCCGAGGCCCAAGUGUGUUGUUCUGUGGCCUGCAAGGCCAAAGGGCAGAGAGAAUGGCCCAGCAUCCUCUGCCCAGGGCUGACGGCACCUGAGUGAGCCUGGAGUGAAGUUCCUUGGUGUUGGUGACCUGCAUGAGAUCGCCCCAGGCCCAAGUGUGUUGUUCUGUGGCCUGCAAGGCCAAAGGGCAGAGAGAAUGGCCCAGCAUCCUCUGCCCAGGGCUGACGGCACCUGAGUGAGCCUGGAGUGAAGUUCCUUGGUGUUGGUGACCUGCAUGAGAUCGCCCGAGGCCCAAGUGUGUUGUUCUGUGGCCUGCAAGGCCAAAGGGCAGAGAGAAUGGCCCAGCAUCCUCUGCCCAGGGCUGACGGCACCUGAGUGAGCCUGGAGUGAAGUUCCUUGGUGUUGGUGACCUGCAUGAGAUCGCCCCAGGCCCAAGUGUGUUGUUCUCUGGCCUGCAAGGCCAAAGGGCAGAGAGAAUGGACCGGCAUCCUCUGCCCAGGGCUGACGGCACCUGAGUGAGCCUGGAGUGAAGUUCCUUGGUGUUGGUGACCUGCAUGAGAUCGCCCGAGGCCCAAGCUCAACAUGAAUUCAUCACUGGAAAGUACAAAGAAUGAUAGUGAAUAUAAAAAGGCUAAUACCAAACUUCAAGACUCAGUGGGAACCAUCACAAGGACAUUUUCUUUUCCCUUAAGACUUCCUAUAUGGGAACUAUGUAUUGAGACUGAUGAAAAUGCUCUUCCGUAUUGUUGUGAUGAAGUGAAGUUUGAUUCUCCUGAGAUAUAUCUUGCCUGAACAUUACUGAGUCCUCAGAAGGAUGGCUAGAGAACAUCACUCUUAAUAGUAGGUUAGAGAGUCAUGAUUGAAGAGAUGUUGAUGAGAAGGGGCAUGCUACUGCUUGGAAGUCUUACCAAGAAGCCCCAAAGUAGCAAGCUUUGUGGCAAACAGUAGUUAUAGAAGGUUUGUUUCUAUCUCCAUAUAGAGGGGUGAUUAUGAAGUUCAGCUGUCAAAGAAUCAUUUAUGAAGACUUACUCCAGGAAUUUCUUCAGAGAAUGACUAAGAGCAGGAAAUAUCUGAAAGAAGACUCCUCAGACCAAGAUCUCUUCACCAUAUGUUAUACAAAAGCCAUACACUGAAGAUGAUACCAGCUGUGAUGAGGUGGGAACAUUAAACAGAUGGUGCCAUCUCUUCUACCAGCAGAUUCACCAAGAAAGUCUUCACUAUACAUGCUGAUGCCUCUUUCCUGUGUAGCAGCAGAUACCACCUGCAGAUAAGAAAUGCUUAACUGAGAAAUGCUCAUGUUGGGAUAUCAUCGAUGAAACUUUAAUUUGGGCAUGGUGACUGUUUCCCUUGCUGCCACUUGACUCAAUCCCAGGAGCCUCAGUAGAGGAAAUAAUAUUGCACAAGAAGCUCAAAAUGGUGGAAAUAUUCAGUGCUCCUAUAAAUAUACACUGCUAAUUUUAAAAAAUAUGAGAUAUUAAAAAAGAACUGCAUGAUUUUUUUUAAAAAAAUCUCAAAGUAUACUUAUAUGAUUAAUACGUAAAUUAUGGGCCUUCUCUCUUUCAAGAGAGUUGAAAGUUUCCUACAGUUUCCCCCCAUUAAGGAAGGGUUAUACAUGCUCUUAAGCAGAUAAAUAUAUGCAAAAAUAUGCAUACUUUCUGGAGGGACUUCUAGCAGUGGGGCCAUAUUGCAUAUUAUGCAAAUUGCUACUUUUACUUACGAAUCUUUUUGAUGAGCUUUUCUGUUUCAGUAAUACAUUCUUAUCUAUGUCAUUUUUUGAAUGACUGCAUGACUGCUUUGUAGAUGAAAUAGAAUUAAAUGUUUUAAGCAUUGCCCAUUCAUAGACAUUUAUGUAGGUGCCAAAUUUCUGUGCAAUGAACUAACAUAUAUAAAUAUAAAUAUAUAUAUAUGUAUGUAUAUACACACAUACAUAUAUAUUAUCAAUAAUUCUGUAUUUGUCUCCUCUAUUAUAGUAAAAUUACCUAGUACUUAAAUUAUUAAAAUUAUUAAAACUGAGAAUACAUUAACACUUAAUUAUUUUAAAUUGUCACAAUUUCUUUUAAAUGUGCUCAAUAGCUUCCUCCUCAAGAGCAAUGCCUUAGAGUACCAUCCUCAUAAUCCACAUACAAUGGAUUUUACAAAUAUUUGAAAUCUUUUCCAAUGUGUUAGUCCAACCUAUUGUCUUAAAUUGUAUUUAUUUUAUUUUUGAGUUUGAUCAUUUUCAUGUUUAUUAGCCAUCUGUAUUUUUUUAUUUCUUCUUUAUGUCAAAGUUUGAGAGUAUGUGGAGGUUUUAGUCUCUUUUAAAGAUCAUAUUUACAGUUGGGGAAAAAUAAGAUUUUGGAUUGUCAAACAUUACAUGUUUUUCACACUUUUGAACUUUGUUUUGUUAUAAGAAUGUGUAUAAUUGUUACAUGUCCAACUAUAACCAUGUUUACUUUUAUGGCUUCUGAGUUUCAUGUCAUUUUUGAAAAAAUAUAUAUAUUCUGAGCCCAUAAAGCCCCUCCCCUUUGUUAAUACUAAUUCUUUUGUGUUUUUUAAUUCAAAUUCUAUGUCAUGAAAAGAAUUUUGUUUUAAAAUCUUAAAGUUGCAAGUUAUUUGCCAUUACUUAUGAUUAUUUGCCAAUAAUUGCCCAUUUAUCUGUAAUACCAUCUUGCACAUGUGCUGUAUUCAUCCAUGAAUGGCUCCAUUUUUGUCCUGUGGGUAUGUGCGUCUCUUCUUCCGCUUCCUGUCUCAUGUGUCUUCUUGUUGGAAGAAAUUACAGUUUAGACUGCAAUUUCAUCAACCUUAAUAAAUUAAUCUGGGGAAACUGUUUUUAAAUAAUAUUGUCUUCAUAAUUAAGGACAAGGUAUGUCUCUUUUAUUAAACAUUUGAUUACUGUUUAUAUUUUCA